UGAUUGACGAUGGAUCACCAGUGAGUGGCGGACGGGUGAGUAACACGUAGGUAACCUGCCCCGGAGCGGGGGAUAACAUUUGGAAACAGAUGCUAAUACCGCAUAACAACAAAAGCCGCAUGGCUUUUGUUUGAAAGAUGGCUUUGGCUAUCACUCUGGGAUGGACCUGCGGUGCAUUAGCUAGUUGGUAAGGUAACGGCUUACCAAGGCGAUGAUGCAUAGCCGAGUUGAGAGACUGAUCGGCCACAAUGGAACUGAGACAUGGUCCAUACUCCUACGGGAGGCAGCAGUAGGGAAUCUUCCACAAUGGGCGCAAGCCUGAUGGAGCAACACCGCGUGAGUGAAGAAGGGUUUCGGCUCGUAAAGCUCUGUUGUUGGAGAAGAACGUGCGUGAGAGUAACUGUUCACGCAGUGACGGUAUCCAACCAGAAAGUCACGGCUAACUACGUGCCAGCAGCCGCGGUAAUACGUAGGUGGCAAGCGUUAUCCGGAUUUAUUGGGCGUAAAGCGAGCGCAGGCGGUUGCUUAGGUCUGAUGUGAAAGCCUUCGGCUUAACCGAAGAAGUGCAUCGGAAACCGGGCGACUUGAGUGCAGAAGAGGACAGUGGAACUCCAUGUGUAGCGGUGGAAUGCGUAGAUAUAUGGAAGAACACCAGUGGCGAAGGCGGCUGUCUGGUCUGCAACUGACGCUGAGGCUCGAAAGCAUGGGUAGCGAAACAGGAUUAGAUACCCCUGGUAGUCCAUGCCGUAAAACGAUGAAGUGCUAGGUGUU
rnacentral:rRNA from 1 species